GCGCUAAUACACUAGCUACUGACUCUUAUAAUAGUAUCGUACUUUUGAAUUAUGGAGUGUACUCCAUUUUUGAUUGUACCUAAGAUUUAAGAAGAUUUAAAAAUAUGUUGAAAGAUUUGGAAUCCAUUCGUAGUUAAUUUCUGAAGUAUGCUGGUUCCAAGUAAUACAUAAUGUUCAUGUGUAAUAAUUUUUCGUUUUCUAAUUUUUCUUUAUUAUUGAGCCAACGGACAGGAAUACGAAAAGUGCGAUUUUUUUUUGCUUUGAAAGGACUGGAGCCAUUAUGAAAACGAUAUAGGAUCCUAAGUAGGGAUGUAUGAAUUCAAUGAGGUGGAAUAGAGGCUUAAGAAAUCUGAUUAGUGGACUGGUCAGAGAGGCAACAGAUAGUGGGAAACACUUUCAACUCAGAUAUACAAUGAAACUACGAUUUCUUUGAAAAACUCCAAUUGUGGAUGGUAAAAACAAUGCUUGAAGGUUAAUGUCACCGAGUUUAUAGGAUAUGGAGGUUUCAGGAAUAGCCUUGAUAUAAGAAAAUUAAUGGGAGCAAAAAAAAUGAGUCGACGAAACAAACAGCUAUUUGGAGAGUGUAUUAGAUUGUGUUUUGAUUGCAAGUACGGAAGAAAAUAUGAUAGAAGUGAUAGAAGAUGUGAUAAGCAAGAAAAUAGGCAUAAUGAGGGAAGCCAGACAUAUGACACACAUUGCUUUCGAAUUAGGACAUAGAAAUAAUCACAUUAUAUGUCUCAAUUCUAUCGGAUUUCCUUUGGACAAAACGAGGAUGUAGUCUAUUACUUAUGAGUUUAUAAACUAGGAUUGCCACAUUGAUUCAUCUCCUUUAUUAUAGGAAUGUGAAGUAGAGAGAAAUUAAAUAAGUGCAAUGGCAAAAUAAAGGAAAGAGAAAAGGAAAAAAGAAAAAAAUUAAGAGGUUAUACCCUAUUGAAGAUCUACGUACUAUUAGUAUUUUUCAGGAACAUCAAAAAGUGUUCACUUAGGAGGAAACGUUGAUUAGCUGCAACCCAGGUUCCCUAUAUUUCUCUCGAUGUGGGAGAAAUACAGUUUCUAAGAAUAAAAGUUCACAAUUUUUUUUUCACUAUUGUGCCUAUUGUAAAUUAAUGCUUUAUGUCGUUUUAGUUGUGUUAAUUACUAUUCAUAUUUGAAUAUUAUACUUUUUUAGUUUUAUUGUAGAAUGAAUAAUUCAAAUAUAGGCGCACCCAAAUCAAUUUAAAAAUUUAAAUUAUAUCAAGUCUUUGAAAACUUAAAUUUACCUUUUCCUAGUAACCAUUUUGA